rnacentral:rRNA from 1 species
UACGUAGGGGGCAAGCGUUGUCCGGAUUUACUGGGCGUAAAGCGCGCGUAGGCGGGGGAGCAAGUCCGGUGUGAAAGCCCCCAGCUCAACUGGGGAAGGUCGCUGGAAACUGUUUCUCUUGGGGGUGACAGAGGGAAGUGGAAUUGCUGGUGUAGCGGUGAAAUGCGUAGAGAUCAGCAGGAACACCCGUGGCGAAGGCGGCUUCCUGGGUCACCACUGACGCUGAGGCGCGAAAGCUAGGGGAGCAAACGGG